UACGUAGGUCCCGAGCGUUGUCCGGAUUUAUUGGGCGUAAAGCGAGCGCAGGUGGUUUAUUAAGUCAGUGGUCAAAUUGAGGGGCUCAACCCCUUCCCGCCAUUGAAACUGGCGAUCUUGAGUGGAAGAGAAGUAUGCGGAAUGCGUGGUGUAGCGGUGAAAUGCAUAGAUAUCACGCAGAACCCCGAUUGCGAAGGCAGCAUGCCGGCUUCCGACUGACGCUGAAGCACGAAAGCGUGGGGAUCGAACAGG
rnacentral:rRNA from 1 species